rnacentral:rRNA from 1 species
CCCUUAGAUGUUCUGGGCCGCACGCGCGCUACGCUGACGGAGUCAACGAGUUGUCCUGCAUCGGAAGGUGUGGGUAAUCUUUUGAAACUUCGUCGUGCUGGGGAUAGAUCUUUGCAAUUUUCGAUCUUGAACGAGGAAUUCCUAGUAAGCGUGAUUCAUCAGAUCGCGUUGAUUACGUCCCUGCCCUUUGUACACACCGCCCGUCGCUACUACCGAUUGAAUGGUUUAGUGAGGCCUCGGGACUGGCGCGCUCGAGUAGCAAUACACCUGCGCGCCGGGAACUUGGUCAAACUUGAUCAUUUAGAGGAAGUAAAAGUCGUAACA